rnacentral:rRNA from 1 species
UACAGAGGGGGCAAGCGUUGUUCGGAAUUACUGGGCGUAAAGCGUGCGCAGGCGGUCUGUUAAGAGAGAUGUGAAAUCCCCGGGCUUAACCUGGGAACUGCGUUUCUAACUGGCAGGCUUGAGUGUGGCAGAGGGGGGUGGAAUUCCACGUGUAGCAGUGAAAUGCGUAGAGAUGUGGAGGAACACCGAUGGCGAAGGCAGCCCCCUGGGCUAACACUGACGCUCAUGCACGAAAGCGUGGGGAGCAAACAGG